UACGUAGGUGGCAAGCGUUGUCCGGAUUUAUUGGAUUUAAAGGGUGCGUAGGCGGUCUAUUAAGUCAGUUGUGAAAUACGGCAGCUCAACUGUCGAGGUGCAAUUGAUACUGAUGGACCUGAGUACUGAUGAGGUAAGCGGAAUGGACGGUGUAGCGGUGAAAUGCUUAGAUAUCGUCCAGAACUCCGAUAGCGAAGGCAGCUUACUAAGGAGUAACUGACGCUGAGGCACGAAAGUGUGGGGAUCAAACAGG
rnacentral:rRNA from 1 species